rnacentral:rRNA from 1 species
UACGUAGGGGGCUAGCGUUAUCCGGAAUUACUGGGCGUAAAGGGUGCGUAGGCGGUCUUUCAAGCCAGAAGUGAAAGGCUACGGCUCAACCGUAGUAAGCUUUCGGAACUGUAAGACUUGAGUGCAGGAGAGGAGAGUGGAAUUCCUAGUGUAGCGGUGAAAUGCGUAGAUAUUAGGAGGAACACCAGUAGCGAAGGCGGCUCUCUGGACUGUAACUGACGCUGAGGCACGAAAGCGUGGGGAGCAAACAGGAUUAGAUACCCCCGUAGUCCCUGA